AGGGUUGGGUCAUAACAUAGUAACAUUACAGUUACAACCAGGGUUGGGUCAUUAUAUAGUAACAUUACAGUUACAACCAGGGUUGGGUCAUUAUAUAGUAACAUUACAGUUACAACCAGGGUUGGGUCAUUAUAUAGUAACAUUACAGGUACAACCAGGGUUGGGUCAUUAUAUAGUAACAUUACAGGUACAACCAGGGUUGGGUCAUUAUAUAGUAACAUUACAGGUACAACCAGGGUUGGGUCAUUAUAUAGUAACAUUACAGUUACAACCAGGGUUGGGUCAUUAUAUAGUAACAUUACAGGUACAACCAGGGUUGGGUCAUUAUAUAGUAACAUUACAGGUACAACCAGGGUUGGGUCAUUAUAUAGUAACAUUACAGUUACAACCAGGGUUGGGUCAUUAUAUAGUAACAUUACAGUUACAACCAGGGUUGGGUCAUUAUAUAGUAACAUUACAGUUACAACCAGGGUUGGGUCAUUACAUAGUAACAUUAGGUACAACCAGGGUUGGGUCAUUACAUAGUAACAUUACAGUUACAUUACAUUACAUUUACAUUUAAGUCAUUUAGCAGACGCUCUUAUCCAGAGCGACUUACAACUACAACCAGGGUUGGGUCAUUACAUAGUAACAUUACAGUUACAACCAGGGUUUGGUCAUUACAUAGUAACAUUACAGUUACAGGCAGGGUUGGGUCAUAACAUAGUAACAUUACAGUUACAACCAGGGUUGGGUCAUAACAUAGUAACAUUACAGUUACAACCAGGGUUGGGUCAUU